rnacentral:rRNA from 1 species
GAGCGGGGUAGCAAUACCCAGCGGCAGACGGGUGAGUAACACGUGGUCAACCUUCCCGACAGUGGGGGAUAACUAGCCGAAAGGUUAGCUAAUACCGCAUACGAUCUAUGAGGGGCAUCUCUUAUAGAUGAAAGGAGCAAUCCGCUUUCGGACGGGACCGCGUCCCAUUAGCUAGAUGGUGGGGUAAUGGCCUACCAUGGCGACGAUGGGUAGCUGGUUUGAGAGAGCGACCAGCCACACUGGGACUGAGAAACGGCCCAGACUCCUACGGGAGGCAGCAGUGAGGAAUUUUCCGCAAUGGACGAAAGUCUGACGGAGCGACGCCGCGUGUGGGAAGAGGGCCUUCGGGUCGUAAACCACUGUCGAAGGGGACGAUAAUGACGGUACCCUUGGAGGAAGCCCCGGCUAACUACGUGCCAGCAGCCGCGGUAAU